ACGGGCACAAGUCAUGUAACCAAUUUGAUUGGUAAAACUUGGAUGGUAGGGACCUAUCCUACCCAGCGAUAGCCAAGGAACAUAACCAUACCCCUUUGGUAGAGGACGCUUCUCAGUUUUGGCCAUUUUGACAGAGUGUCGGGGACAGGUGCAGCAGGUGCAGCGAGAAGAAUUCCGUUUUCGUUUACGUGACUUUUUAGAAGACGUUUGGGAUUCCUCUGAUAAAAUGGCAAAACCAAAAGGAUGAGUAAUGACUAUAAGGAAUGUGGAUUCAAUGAUCAAAUGAACAAAUCGCAGUUUUCUUCAAAAGUUGAAGAGCAUAGCUGUCAACUUUUCAUUUAGUGUAAUGCAGUAAGUAGAAACAAUUUAUAACCCUAGGUCUAGAACGGAGCAUCUCACAUACAAUAGGCCAUACAAUAGGCAUUAAUCACACCGGAAUAGUAGAGAGAGAGAUUAUUUUUUUUUGACGAAAGGAAUAGUAGAGAUUUAAAAGAAACAAACAGCAGCAGAAAUUGGUAAAAUUUGGAACAGCAGCAGAAAUUGGUAAAAUUUUCCAAAUUUUACCAAAAAAAAAAGAAAAGUAAAUCAUUAUGUGCAUAUACAAGUACUAUUGCAGUAUAAAUUUAUUUUCAGAGUUUUCAUCAAUAAGUUUCAAUUCAAAUAACAUGUCUGUAUUACCUUUAUCAGUCACCAUCUGUUUCCCGCCGUCGAUCUGCUUGUCGCCGUCGAUCUGUUUUUCGCCGUCGAUCUGUUUGUCGGGGAUGAAAUCCGGGUCGCUGAGAUCCGAGUCGCUGACAUCCACUUCGCUGGAAUCCAGAUCGCUCAUAUCGGAACUGCUGUAGAACGAUCGUUCCGUUUUGGUGUCCGUCAUCGUCUCUAGCUUUGUAAAAUUUGGGAUUCGAGGGAUUUGGUAUACGAGGGAUACGGGAUUUGGGCGGAGGUUUUCGUUGCCUUUUAUAGUCGUACUGCCCUUUAUCUUUAUCCUUAUCUUGGUGGGAUACGCCUUUAAAGUACAAAGCCCAAAUGGCCCAAUCCAAAAUCUGCACACUUCUAGCCCAACAACCCGGACAGCUUCGAAACAAGACGAGAUGACGCAAAGGAAAGAAUACUAAAAAUAAAAAUAAAGAGAUAAACAUAGCCCGGGACCUAAAUUUUGGUGGCAAGAUCAACAUGAUACCGCAUUCAUAAUUCUACCAUCGUGAUACCUGAUGUCAUAUAAGGGAUCUCCGUCUAUUUUCAUUAAUUGUUCCGUUAAAAGUAUACCAAAAAGACCAAAAUAACUUCUUUUUUAUAUUUUGUCUUUUUGUGCAUUUUUAUUUAAUUAAAAAUCAAAUAGAGCAUGAUGGGUGUAGAACAUUGAAUUUGUUUAUUUAACAUACUAUAAAUAUAUAAAUCUAUCAUCUUUACUCAAAAGUAAACAGUUAAUUUUUUAUCAUCAGUUAGAGAAUUCAUCUAUAACAGAUUAUAUUUUUCAUCAGACUGCAGAUAAAUUUAUAAAGAUUUAUAAGUAGAGAGAAAAAAGUUAAGAAAUCUAAAAGAGUUCUGAUCUAAACUUCAUAGAAGUACUAAUAAUUAUUAGGAUAUUAUAUUUCAAAUCUAGAAAAGGAUUUAUCAAGUUGAAAAAGAAAUCAAAAUCAAAAUUCUCAAAGAGACUCUUGAGGAAGAACAAAAUCUCUUGAUUAUCUGAGCAUCGGUUAGAUCCGCCCUAGGUGGUAUCAAAACCUGUUUUUCUAAAAAACAGGUAAUGCAAAAGACUUAUGCCAUAGAGUGGCUUCUCUUGACAAAUAAAAGAAAAUCCAAAUUUAAAAAUUAUCAGUCCUACUAUACUGUUGUUGAGUAAAAAUGUGCACGAAGUGUAAAUGUCACCCAACAUAAUUUCAUUCGUAUUCAUUAACAGAAUAGAGUUUUAAUUAUGUCUGGUUCGACCCAUUCAAGACAGAACAUGUCUCUUAAUUACAAUCCCUUGUUAGAAUGAACACCCUUUGAUUCCAUUUAUCAAGAAACCAUUGUAGGUUUGUUUGUUUUUGCGGCUGCACCUGAAUUUUGGAAUGGGUUGCCUACGUACCCAGGAGUGGAUCAAGCCACUCGUAGUUCUAGAGUUCCAAUGAGUGAAUGACUUAUUGAAGGGCUUUGAUUUAGGAAUAGAAGUAGUGUUUGAGAUGCGGUUGUAUCCAGAUUAUUUGAUUCCAGAUUGCCUACAUACCCUUGCGGGAUCAAACCGCAUGUAGUUCCGGCAUUUGGGAUUUAAAUGGGUAGGUGACUCAUUUAUUUUGAAUUUGUGUUUGGGAUAUUUGUGAGGGUUUAAAUCCCUUGAAUUUGGUUUGGGUAUUUGAUAUUUGUGGUGUUUGGGUAAAUUUGAUUGGUGGACCCAGAGAUUCAGGUUUUGUGAAUUUGACUGGUGAAGUCGAGAAUUUGAUUUAAGAUUUGUGACUGGUAGAGUCAAGGAUUUGAUUUGAGAUUGGUGGUCGCAUCUAGUGGGUUGCUAGAUUGCCUACAUACCCUUUUGUAGGGAUCAAACCAUUGUAGUUCAGAAAAGUUGGGUAUUUGAGAUUUCUCGGUUUUGUACCCAAGAGUAAUUUCACUUUGAGUCUCGUAUCACUUUUAAAUGAAACUGAAGUUCGGGUAUUUUAAUUUGGACACCCACAGCGUCAGGAAAGCUCCAAGCUUGUUUCAGUUUUGGGGAUGCUUGAUUUAAUUUAAAGAUAUUCACGACGUUUUUCCAACGUCAUUAAAAAGGUAUGAAAUCCAUGACUACGGUAAAGACGGCGAAGUAGAUGACAUUUGUAAAUGUCAUGAAACCCUUAUAAUGACGUUUUCCAAACGUCAUGGAAACUUUUUUUGUACUAGUGAAUAGUACUGUAUUUAAAAAUCAAAUAAAAUAUAAAAAAACAAGACAACUGUGCCUAAGCAACCAGUAUUAGGACUAGGCCAAAAAGAUCCAGAAUGCAACUUAGGUUGCUAGAUUAAAAUAAGACUCACUUAACUUAGUUAACUUAGUAAGGGCCAAGAAUGAUAACAGAAGUUCUAUGACACUCUUAACGGAAGUUCUAUGACACUCUCGAAUAGACAUGAUACUCACAUAUCAUACACCAUUAGCAUAUAUGUGUACAUUACUCGCAACAUUCAAUCUAUAUUAAGUAAUCACACAUUUUAAAAGCCAAAACUACUAUGCUACGUACUAGAGUAAUCUCACAUUUCCAAAGCAAAAACAUAUCAGAAAAGCAAUAACAUGAUUUGCAUUAUUUCAUUCACUGAUGAACAACACAAGAUGCUCUUAUUAACAUGAUUAGGAAACACAUGAAAUCAUCUGAUUACAGUAAAAUCACCUGAAACUCAAUCGCUGAGCUCUUUGCUUAUCAUAUGAUCCUAACAUUUACAGUCCAGAAGUUCCAAGAACACUCACCUGACAUUUUUAAUAAGUACUCAUGUCAGUGUUAUUUGACUUGUAAAUACAUGAAUUAGUAAAGUAGGUGACAAUAUAAGUCACAAUUUGGGUUCAUAUGAUGCAGAGGAAAAAAUAUAUAGAAAUGUUUUUUAAUAUGUAGUUGAAUUCACCUUGGAAAAGCAAAACUGUGUCAUCAUGAUCCAAAAAUUGAAUUAUAGUGACAUAUAGUCUACUAGAUUGACUCAUAAACUUCUCUAAGAUGCAUUUCAGUCCGCAUUCAUGAGUAGGUAUACACAGAAUAAACUCUUGUUCUUUUUCACAAUGUGUUUUCAAAUAAAAACUAUUAGCAGGAAUGUCUUUAAAGCUCAAUAUGGUUCGGUUGCCUCUCAAUACAUAGAGAGCAUAUGUGACGUUGAUCAUGGUGUCAUGAGGCAUCAAGAUUCAAGCUAAACCGCGUCUCUGAAUGACCAGUAUGAUUCAAUUAUUGUAGUCACAGAAGAUUUACAAGGCACAAAAUCCAGAGAUAAUUGUCAGUUCUUUAGAAUGUUGUGGGUAGUUCCACUAUCUGCAAAGCACUCAAUGUCUCAAUGAGACAAAUCUACAAAAUAGAGUCGAUAUGAGAGUAAAUAGUUCCACUUGAACCAUUUAGAGGGAUUGAAAGAAGAUUUACAAGGCACAAAAUCCAGAGAUAGUUGCCGGUUCUUUAGAAUGUUGUGGGUAAUUCCACUAUCUGCGAAGCACUCAAUGUCUCAAUGAGACAGAUCUAUAAAAUAGAGUAGAUAUGAGAGUAAAUAGUUCCACUAGAACCAUUUAGAGGGAUUGAAAAAAGCUACGAAAAGCUGCAAUCCCGAGAGUGCAUAAAAAUUUCUGCGCAUAAUGACCUUUGCGCACUAAAACAGCCAUAACUUCUUCGUUAAAAUAGAUAUGGACGGACCGCGAAAAGUUCUGAAAACUAUGCUCGUAGAGCUUUCCAAUGAUAUAAAGCUCACUGUCUAGUUCGUUUAGAGCUGUUCACAAAGCUCAAACAAAGUUGACUGUCUAGAAGAGACAGAUUGCUGUUUUUCGCAGAUUUGGCAUUAGCAAAGCUUUGAAGCUUGCGGAUGGCAUGUGGGCAUAAGCCAAAGCCAAAAUGACGUGUAUAUGAUCAAAAUCAAGUCCUUUUGGUCUUUCCAAGGUCGUAAACUCUAUGACUAGUUAGGGAAAACUAACUCAGAGGACUUAGAGGAUUCGAUCAUGAUGAUAAUUGUCCGGUUUUGAUAAGUCUUCAACGUCUUUUAAAGCUUUCGGUAACUCCAAGUCAGUAUGACCAGACAUGUUCGUGGAGGGUCGGUAGUGCGAGGCACACUUGAAACCACUAUCUCCUUAAUUUUAAGACAUCACACUGAGCUUGGAUGAGCCUAAUUGAACAAUUGAUGAUGGAAAAUCCGCUAUAGGAUAAAAGACUUAACUGGAACCACGUUGGCGAUCCUCGUUGAGGAUGCAAGGCCGUACGUCAUCUUCACUUAUAAGAGACCAAAACGGCACAAUCUAACCAUGUAGAUUGUAAAUAUGUCAUGCUUCUAAGGACGAUGUAAAAAUGUACAUCUUGUUUGUAAAUCAUUACGAACCAUAAGAGACGAAUAAUUUCCUAACUUCGAAAAAAAUCUCAAGGCAUUCAUUAUUGCUAAUGUGAGUAUAUAUCGAGGUCUCGAAUAAACAAAUGACAUCGAUACGACGUCCUAUUACAUAUAGCUUGGAAAGAAAAUCAAUAUCUAGCCAAUGACGUCAAAGUCAGGGGCAUCUAGAGCUGGAUCCGAAUUUUUAAAAUCUGCAAUCAUAAGGACGUUCUUAUCCUCAUUUAGAUUUUCCGUACCUUUUUGCAUGCAUUCAUGGUUUGAGGAUGAGCUCGACAACUCCUCAACUAGUGAUCUGGAGAUCCACACAGUUGCAUUGUUCGGAGCUGACAUGAGUAGUUUUAACAUAUUGGUGUCUAGAUCAGGAGUGUCGCCAUUAUGCAGCACCUCCCCCUUUUUUCUAGACUUCGGCGCGGCUUCUUUACCGUUGCCAUGACCCACAUUGCCUUUACCACACUAGGGGUUAAUCCCACAUGCACAAGCUAAUACGUUUAUCUCAUUAACGUUUAUGCAAUUCCGCUAAAGAUUCUGGAUCAGGUUCUGGAUCAGGACGCCACGGAAUAUCAUCGACAAUAUGUAGUCAAAUAAGGUGGUAAGCAAUCCGUUUGACUUAAUAACUCACUUAAUAACUGAACAAGUUGAGUUAGAUUGACGUUUCAAUCCCGUUUGACUUAAUAACUCAACAAGUUGAGUUAGAUUGACGUUUCAAGAAACACUCCAUAAGUGCAUUCCACAGUAUUUUGUGGUCAUUACUUUUUACACAGAUUGAGAUUUAAGGUUUUUGUCGAUGUGGCGCUUCAAAACUUUGAGUGCGUGAGAUGUGAAAUCUCGGCAUCUAGGCUUGUUAGUCUAGGGGUUAAAACAUGUGGUUUAAUCUUUUUCAAUAAAAAAGUUCCACAUAUACCAAAUGAAGAUUCGCUUUGGGCAUUGAUUACGUCAAAACUCAGAUGAGCAGAAUGUUACGUUACUCUUGCAUACAAAACCAAGCUGUUAUGAGACUCGAUAGAGGUCACAAAUGAUGCUUUUUAAUGGUUUGUCCUACGGAUUGAUCACACACAAUCCGAAAAAGCCGCGAAUUGAUCAAACACAAUUCGGAAAAAGACCUCGGACUGAUCAAACACAAUCUGGAGAAAGGUUAGGGUUGAUCACACACAACCCGGACAAGAAAAUAAGAGUGAUCAAAGACACUCUUGACCCGCGAAUAAAAUUCCAGGAUUUUUACCUGCACGCACAAAAUCCCAAGCAUAAAAUGAAGAUGGAGAAGGGAGGAAAAGAUUUUAUCCUCCCCGAAUUAUUAAACUUGGAAAAGUUUAGGGUAUCAAAACAUACAUUUCAAAACUUUAAACGCUUGAAGAAGUCAAAAAAUUGUAGUCAAAGGAAACCAAGAAUCGUCGGCGAGCGACUGACAAGGGAUUGACAGUCGGUGAUGUCGGACGGCGGCCGGGAAAAUAGGCGGCGGCAGCGGUCGAACAUAAGAGCUGAAAAACCCUUUUUAGGGUUUCGGAAAACAAAUGGUGGGCUAUUGGCUCUCGGGUUAGAACAAAUUGUAUGAUAACGUGAUGAAGUAUAAACGAUAGAGACAAAGAGAUCUAGUAAGAGAAUAGAGAAUCAUUAUCUUAUUCAUUGAUAGAAACCUUUUAUAUAGAGAGCUGAGAAAUGUUUUUUUAGGGUUUCAGAAAACAAAUGAUGGGCAAUUGGCUCUCGGGUUAGAACAAAGUGCAUGAUAACGUGAUGAAGUAUAAACGGUAGAGACAAAAAGAUCUAGUAAGAGAAUAAAGAAUCAUCAUUUUAUUCAUUGAUACGAGCCUUUUAUAUAAGGAAUUAUAAAGUACCAAUAUAGUAAUGAUAAGGAAUACAUAGUCAUAAUCUAAUUACAUAUCAUGUUGGCAUAAGGCCAAAACACACAUAUGGAAUAUCCUAGAACAGAUAUAUGAUUAUUGGAGUAAAAAGAAGAAAUUUUAUUGUGUUACCGUAGGACCAUGUGGCUUCUGACGUGGUUCUUCACUUCAUUCAAAUUUUAACGCGUGGAUUUUUAUGAAAAACUAUUUUAGCUAUUUUGUCAAUGUCCUUGCUUUUUUAUUCCCUAUACCCUAUACCUUAUUAAACCCUAAACCCUAACCCUAUACCCUAAACCCAAUUUUAGGUUUCUUCUUUUUAGGUAUAUUAUCAUAUCAUGCCCAACUUAAUAGGUAUAUUAGAAAUGUAAGUUAAGAGUAAAAUGUUAUCUCGAUCAAGAUGAGAAAUGAUAUAAUAAUAUACCUAAAAAAUUUUGAUUGGGGUUUUUCCAAUUAUGUUGAUCUCUCUAUCUGUUAGUUUCAUUGUUGUUUUGGAUUUUUGUUGGGAAUCAUAAGAAUACGUAGUUGCAGAAAUUGAAAUUUUGAUCGGCUGUAUGAUGAUCCAUUUUCUUGAAUGGUAUUACCAAUAAUAGAGGAUAUGCGUUUCGUUCAAAUCAAUUAAUAAAGGUUGAGGUUCGUGUCACGCCCCCAAAUUCAAGGCCAAUAUUAUACUGAAAUAUGGCUCGUGAAUUUGUGACGUGAGCCAUAACAUAAUAAUAAAACUUGAAACUAAGACAAUAGUUAUGAGUAAAACUUUCAAUUGAUAUAACAAAGAUUCUUUUACAUCAAUUGAGAUUAUCGAUAAAUUUUGUAAACACAAAUAAAGAUUUAUUGUGAUGAGAUAAAAGUAGAUCGAAAUAUAAAACAUUCUUUGUUAAGUUUACGUCGUUUCACCCCGUCCCCAAGAAUAUACUCGUUACCUGAAAAACAUAAAUGUGUAGCAUCAUGAGUUACACUAACUCAGUAAGUAUAGACUACAGUCUUAUAUUAAUUUGUCUUACAAAAUGAUGCAAAUUGAAUAACGAAGUAAAAAUGAUAAAAGAAUCAAUUAUUAAUGCACAUUGAAUAUAAUCCCCUUUGAAUACCAAAUAUCAUAACAUCAUUUACCAAAACGUCAAAUGCAGCAUCAAUAGAUGAAUUAACUCAUAAAGGUGCACGUAUACUCAAUUAUCUUUUCACCUAGCAUCAUAAGGUAUUAAUAAUAUCGCAAACUGUUCAAUCAAAAUAAUAUACUUAUCUUCUCAGUGAAUAUUUCAGAGUAAUUGGUAACAAAUCCAAAAAAUCCACGUGCUAGGUCCACUAUAUCAAAGCACCGGUAAGCCGCAGCAUACUAAGGCCACUUGCCAAAGCAUGUAUACUCAAGGUUUGACACUUCCAUCCCAAUGAGUAUAAUAAUGCACUAUCUGAAGGGACUAGGGCCCACAACUAACUUCCACAUAAAACACUUUACCAGUAAUUCACUUGAGCACGGGGGUAGUACCAUUCACCCGGCUCCAUAACUUCUCAAAUAUAAUCAAAUUCACAAAUACAAUCUUUAUGAGCUAUAGAUCGUAUCAUAUGUAUAUGUACACAAAUACAUAAAUACACAUAUAUACAUAAGAAUAUUUCAUAAUGAAUGCUCAAAAGGAUAGUGAUAACCGAAUUACUGAUGCACAUAAUGUUGCCAACUUGCCAUGCUCCCAAAGAGGACUUGUGGUUAAAUCAAUUAUAGUUGAACUGUGUGGUCCAGGUUAAGAAUUUGGCAACAAAACUCAAAAUUACCCAUUCUAAUUAUUUCUUGUUCGCUAUUUCAGAUUAGAGGUGCAUUUUCUAAACAACUCAAAUAAGCAGACACUAGAGAUGCUUGCCUCUUCCUUAAUUGCGUGAAUAAUUUCUUCAUUUUUGUUUCGAACUGAACAGGUAACAGAUUCAAAGCUAAUGAAUGCCAGCUCUGUCUACCCUGAAAACACUCCGACACAAAAGAACGAUACUUUUUUUGGACAAUCUUUGAGAAUUUUUUUUCUGAAGGUGAGCCACCUUCUUUCCUUCCAUCUCUUUAAUGUCAGUUAACUGAAUUAGAUCAUUGUUAGUUUACCUGAGUAUGUUCAAUUUGCUAUUUAUGAACAGAAUGCUGUGAGCUCAACAGUUCCUGGUGGUCCUAAUGUGACAUGCAGCACAGCAAAAGCUGUGGAGUGGGAUGCGGUAUAGUCCAAGAACCCUGAUCCAUCUAGUCAUGCUGCGCUUGGUAUACAUGCUACACUGCUACAGAAGUGGUUGCAGAGAAACUGGCUGUAGUAGUUUGAAUGGGAUAAAAAUGGUACUGAAUUUUGCAAAUGCUUUUGUCCUGGAAGUUAGGUUGACUAUUAAACAAUAUCAGAUGAUAUAUAUUCUGAUUCUGUAGGUAGUUUAUACAACCAGAAGGGAAUCCGUCAUGACUGUUGGUAGUUUAUACAACUAGGGAGGCCUUGCUAUUGUCUCUUAGACGAGACCAGAGUUGUUGAUGCUUAUAUUUUCAAUGUGUAAUUUUCUUUGACCAUGACAGGAUUAUGUUUUUGCUGAAUGAAGUUCUGAUUUCUCCAUUUACUUAGAUUACACUUCUUUUUGUGCCACAAUAGAAAUUCUAAAUUCAACUGGAUACCUAGAGUAGAAUCAGAUUCAGAUUUUAUGUUAUGUGAACCGGCCCAAUGUAUGUUAUGGAUAUAGACUAAGAGAAAGGGUACAAAGUCUUUUGAGAACUUAUGUCAAUAUAUUGUACAUUAUCCAAAUGUAUAUUAUGGAUAGACUAAGAGAAAGGGUACAAAGUCUUUUGAGAACUUAUGUCAAUAUAUUGUACAUUAUCCAAAUGUAUAUUAUGGACUUGUAUCAAUUUGAAGGAAUAACAAUUUAACGAGAAACAGAAGCAAGAUGAGUAUCCAAUGGAAACUUCAGUUGUAACCUAAUUGAUAACUUCAAAUAUAUUGUACAUUGCCAAAUCUCAGUUAGAACACUGAAUUAAAAACAAAAAAACAAAUUUGGUCAAAGAAGCAACAAAAUAACAGAUUUGGUCAAACAAGCUUUAUUGAUACUUGAAAGAGUCUGCAUUUUGCAACUUACAUAUACCCUCUAAUAAUCUCUUCGAGCUCCUUCCAACAUAAAUGUGAUCACGAGUUUUUUCCCUAAUACAAUCAACCAAUUCGCUUCUAAUAUGACUUAAGGUUUUAGGAAAAAAUGGUCUAGCAUUUUUGGUGCUUAGGUACUCGUACACUCUUUCAGCAUCCUUUUCUUUGUCCAACACAAUACGAGUUAUAUAAUAAUUAGCCUUCUUUGCUAUGAUGUUACACAUCUUGUACUCUUCGGUGUUCACUACACUUGUUGACCUGCAAAUUAAAACAAGACCAUUCAUUUAACAUAUAUAUUUAUAUAAUGUAGUUUAUUUACUUUUAAUAAGAUGGUUUAUAGUUAUAUACCAGAGGUCCCUUAUGAGAGCGAGGAUCUCAUCAUCACUAAAUAUAGGGCCGAUGCUUGUAGAAUACAUCAUGAACAUAGUUGAUUUUUCAUCCUGAUCACUUGGGUUAUAAAGUGCAUUAUAAACAUCUAAAACCUGAUACGUAUUAGAAAUGCAACCAUCCUUAUGCACGAAUAUCACUGUAACAACACAAUUAUGAAAAAUAAGUGAGAUAAACAUUAAAAAAAGUUUAUAGAACCAUUCAAUGCACGAAUAUCACUAUUUGACUUUAAUGCAAUCUAAUUCAACAAUCUGAACCAUUCAUUCUUUACAUGACUAUGCAAUAAUCAUCAAUAUAAAUUGUUGGUCAGAUCAAUAUCGGGUCAUUUAGGUGUGCAAACAAAUUCAAUGUAUCACAUUAAAUUGAAAUGAGAAUUCUGAUUAUCAUAUGAUUAAACUGAUUUCACUAUUUGCUUUUAAAAUUCUUAUUAAACUACAUGAAAAAUCAAGAAUGAAUAGUUCCCACUAUUAAAUUACUUAAUAAAAAUAUAAAAUUCUGGAAACACAUAUUUCACAUACCUUUCAAAUAUCCACCGGUGUCACGGUCUUGGAAACUGCUUUCCAUUAGAGCUUGCAGAGUGAUAGUGGUACCAAAUUCUUCAGACAUGUUAGGAUUACCCUUCCUAGCAUAAGAAAUUCACUUUAAUAUCAUUGUAGCUGAAGAACAAACCAAAUUUGCCCAAAAACAGAAGAUAUCCCCAACCAAAACAUGAAACUUUAAAAUUUACAAAACUAGCACAAAAGAAUAAAUAUGUACCUUAUAUUGAGACAUUUUAUAGCAUAAAAACAACCAGAUCCUAUUGCAAUCAUUGGCCCAUUGUGAAUCUCUACUUUUUUACCACUAUAGGUUACACCAAAAAUUUGAAAGCCCUACAAUAAGAGUGGGAUGAGUAUACAAAAUUUAAAAUAAACAUUUUUCAAAAAGAAAAAAAAAUAACACAAGACUAAGCCUUUUAAGUAAAAAUUGUAGUCACCUUUUGUUCCUGAUAUCCGGCAACAAUUAUGCCAAAUGCGCCGCACUCUGUCCUCCGAUUUUUGCGAUCUUUCCUUCGGAAGCCUUUUAAGUAAUCUUCUGCAUAAUUCUUCGCAUCUUCCACUGAUUUCGGUCCCUAUGAUAUUUAACAAUUAGCAUUUCUCUAUUUUUUCUUCAGAUUACAACAAAUAAGGCAGUAUGAGAUCUUACCCGCCGAAGCAAAUCUUCGUACAUUUCAUGCCAUUGUUUGACAUCUCCCAUUAAAGUACAAUAUAUUUUAGGCUUGGAACAUAAUUGAAACAUUUUGACUCCCUCAUCUGUUGCUGAAAUGGUUGAUAAAUGAACACAUCAAUAUUAUAUCAAAAAUAAAAAUUAUUUAGACGAACCUAUUAAAGAAAGAGACCAAUUAGCACACAUGCAUUUGUCAAGAGGCUAGUGAAAUCACCAUUAGUUGUAGUGAAUGAUCUAAUUUAACAAUAACAAAUUAGUAAUUUGAUAUAAUAUUCAGUUAGAAAAUCAAGAAAAAUCACUUAACGUGGGCAACAACAUUCAAGGUGCAAUUGCAGAUAUUUUUAUCAAAUCUUUUCAAAAUGAUGAUUUCCUUCUAGGAGAAAAAAAAAAAAAAAAAAAAAAAAGAAAAGAGAGAGAGAGGAAGAAAUACAUGAUUGAGCAUUUAUUAAGAGAUCAGAUUUAGUAUAAAACCAUAGGAAAAAAAUAACACAAAAAAAAAAGGAAAAAGAAUGAAGAACUUUACCCAGUUCGCUAUCUUCUUUGCCGAGCUCAUCCUUGAUCUGUAAUGUAAUCCUAGCAUCAUUGGCGAGUAUAAUUCCAUCUUUACACAAUACAGCAAUAUCCGUUGUUCCAUAGAAGUGUUGACCCAUUGCAACAAAAACUCAACCUUUAAAAAAUAAACAAGAAAUAAUUAGCUUUUAAGAUUUAAUAUCUGAGGAAAACUGAAAUAGAAACCAACCAUACUAAAAAUAGAAGCAAGAACAAUGUGCUGAUUCAUAUUAAGAAUAAUGUCCACAUUGUCUGGUUCAAGUAACAUAUAAAGGCAUGACCAGCCAUUCACAAGAAUAACGUCUAGUUCAGUAGCAUUCCACAUUAUUAUUAUAUUGGCAUGAUUGGUUUUCUACUAGAAUUGAAUGUUUGAGCAAAUAGAAGGCUCCCUCAUUUGAAACCAAGUCAGCAAGCACACAAAAUGGACAAGAUAAGAGUCAGUGGCGGAUCCAGGAUCCAAUAGUUAUCUAGGCUAAUUUUCAAAGUGCACAAAUAUUUAUGUACGGGGAAUCUAGAGAGGCUACACAAUUUUUUUUAGUAUGGCUUCGUAGAUUAGACUCAGAGCUCAAUGACAAGUAACUAAAAUAAAAUUUUCAAAGAUUUAUAGAAACAAAACAGUAGCACAACAGAAAUUCACAAAUUAAAAGGAGGCUCCAUAUAUUUCACAACCAGAUAAAUUGAAAUAAUAAUAAUGUUCUUGAUCAGAACUCAAUACGACAAACGCACCCAAAUAAAAGUACCACAUAAAUUGGAGAAAGCACAACUGCAGAGCAACAUACUUGAGGUAUCCGGAAAGGAUCUAUGUGAUUGAUGCAACUGGUUUGCUAGUGCUAAUGCUAUUAGAGAUUUGAGAGGCCGAGAAUCACUUUGUAACCAGCAACUCAUCCACUAUGGAUUCGCAAAAUUUAUUCAUGCAUACAACAAGGGGAACUUGUCGCCAUUACUCUUAAGUGUCUUAGCAUCAAAAUUGAAAAACCCCAAUUGAAAAAAAAAAAAAAAAAAAAAAAAAAAAAAAAACCAAAAAAUUCAAGAAUGAAAAACUAAAGAGAAACAGUGAAUGGAUGUUAAGAAUUUGAUACCUGGGCUCUGAUGUUGAUUGAAAAACACGGAAGAGGGACAAAUGAGAAGAGAAGAACUGAGAGGAGAAAGGUUGUGCGCCUGGGCCGUCUGUGCUGAGCGGAGAAGAGCGUUUGUGUGCGGCGAAGGGAACUUACGAAGUGAAUACUAACCUAACUGUGCUAACCUAUUUCUUUUUUCUUUCUUCUUUCUCAGGUAAUGGCCCGCAAGUAUAUAUCCCUACUUCAUGGCUUUCGGCCCAAACAUCUCUCUAGGCAAAGCCCAUAGAGUUAAUAAUACAUCUAUCCGCCCCAUCAAGAGUAUUUUGGUACGCGGGACUGCCUUAGAUCAGAGAUGGCAACGGGUAAGGUAGGGUAGGAAUUUUAAGGAAUCAAAAUACCAUACCCGUUUCCUUAUUCAUUUCUCAUCCAUGUACCCGUCUCACUCCCCUUAAUUAGAUAAUGGAGAUUCCCUAUACCCGUCUCCUUUGGGGAUUAUGUUCACAUACCCACCUUGAUUUCUGUUAACAAUUAUAUAAUAAUUAAUUUUUUAAAAUAGUUACGAAAUAUAAAAAUAUGAAAAUAAAUCAAAUACAUAUAUAAAUACGUUUUUUGAUUCAAUCCAACAAAAAUGAAUACAAGUCUCGGUUAAAAAAGAAGGUUUUAUAAAUAUUCAUUAAGAAAAUCAUAGUAAAAAAAUAUUACAAAAGAUUUUACAUAAAUAUCUAUUUAUAAUGAAUUAUAAAGUAUAAUGACAAAGAGAUCUAGUAAGAGAAUAGAGAAUCAUCAUCUUAUUUAUUGAUAGGAGUUUUUUAUAUAGAGAAUUACAAUGUACCAAUAUUGUAAUGAUAAAGAAUAUAUAGUCAUACUCUAACUACAUAUCCUGAUGGCAUAAGGACAAGGCACACAUAUGAAAUAUCCUAAAACACUCCCCCUUAAGCCGCGCACCGGUAUGCCGGUGGUGCUGAUAUAUUGUCUCGUUAAAAACCUCAUCAAGUAACAAAAACCCUGUGGGAGAAAAACUAAACUUUGUUCGUAGGAGAAAAAGAGUACAACGCACCCUUCAUAUUUGAUCAUGACAUGUAUGUCUGUGCUAGACUCCCCCUAGAGUUUGCAUCUCCCCUUGAUCUUUAUAUCAAUCAUAGGGCUCUUUUUGAUUUUUACUAAUCAUGAAAAUAUAAACAACUUGGCAUGUUAAUGUUCUUUAACAUGUCUUUAAAUGUGGCAUUGGGCAAUAAUUAACUAGAUCAUGUCGUAUAGACCUCAAACAUAAUCUUUUACACUUAGAUCUUGAGGAGAAAGCCGCUUGUGAACUCAAAAUAUAAGUUUGCGCUGGAAAUCAGAUUUCUACGUAGCCUGACCAUGAGGUACUAGAAAAGUCGUAACUUUCCCUAGGAAAUAUAUCAAGACCCACCUCGAAUUUUACCCUAAAACCCGGAGUAAGUCCUGCGGGGACCACUCCCAAGGAAAGAUUUACCGAAAAAUUGGCAAAACCUCCCUUGAAAAUAGACAACCCUUACCUGAAAAAUUUCAAAUUUUCACUCCUACUAACACACAUCCAACCUUAACUCCUGGAGCCAUCCGCUCCCCACAAACACAACCACCACAUAAUCAACAAUACAUCAACAUCCAAACAUCACAUAGAUAUCCAGCUUAAACAUUAAACCUUAUCCUUCAGAUACUCUAAGCAUAAAUCAACAAACCGAACACACCACCGAAAUAAUUUACAUUAAUCCCAAAGUAUUCAAAGCUACUAGACACUAGCGGAAGCAAGAAAACACGGGUAGGUUAAACAGGUAACCUACUGGUGAAAAGUGGCGGAAAUGCGGGUGACUAUGUCUCGUCUCCUACUAGAUCCAACUCGAACUCUGCAAACUGGGCAAUUUAAAACGAAGGGCCCAGGGGAAAACAUUUAAUAACGUUAGAGUGAAUGAACAAAAAUAAAUUAAUAAAUAAAAUAUUUAUGUUUCCCCAAACCAAUUUCCAAUGAAAAAUCGAAUGCAUGCCGCAACUCUGCAGACUGGGCAAUUUAAAACGAAGGGCCCAGGGGAAAAUAUUUAAUAACGUUAGAGUGAAUGGACAAAAAUAAAUUAAUAAAUAAAAUAUUUAUGUUUCCCCAAACCAAUUUCUAAGGAAAAAUCGAAUGCAUGCCGCAAGCGAUAAAACUUUUAUCUCAUAAAAUAUCGAGUCACUCAGACUCUAUAAUAUAUGUAUGUAUUUACGCACGUCCAUACUCCCUAUAUAAAUUCAUGGGUCUAUAUACGGCUACUACGCUCGCGUCCAACGCUCACGUCCAACGCUCACGUCACGCCUUAAUGCGGUGCUACACUACGUCAUUAAGGUGGACAGACGGGUGUAUAAAUAUGUGCCCAUACCCCCUAUAUGAAUUAAACACUCAUAUAAGGUUACUACGCUCACGUCCAACGCUCACGUCACACCAUAAUACGGCUAUAUGCUACGCCAUUAAUGUGGACAGACACAUAUGGCUAGCUAGCAUUUAUAUACAUACUCUCCUCAAUAUACAUAUUUAUACUCACCGAAAAAUCCUAUUUUUCGGUAACUCUCCAAGAGAAAUAAAAGCGUCAAAAUUAAAUGACGUCAAAACUUUAACAAUUUUAAAUGCUCAACCAAAACCAUAGCAUGCAUAAUAUUUAAAAUAAAAGUCCACUCACAAAUUAGGCCUAAGCUUGAUGUCACUCUGGGGCCUCGUCUGCUCGAGCGUCCUCACGUCCUAUUCCAAAUAUAAUAUUAAUUUCCCGACCGAAAUUCCAAUACUUACUCAAAAAUAGGCAAAAUAAAUAUGAGCCGUAACCAUGCUCAUUCUCGCCUAACUUCGAUAUUCCUAAAUCGAAAUGAUCCAAACUUUAAUACCAAAAACGGAAGCCGCAACACAAUCUCCCACAGAUUUAACGACUUAGAUCCUACGGCCGAAUUCUACAUUAAUUAACCGCCAAAAAUAACAAACUUUGGAAAUUCACAAACCUAACCAAAACUCCUCCAAAAAUUCCAUAAUUCACAUCAAUAAACUCCCCUUAAUUUUCCACAUUUAAAACCAUAAAAAUCUCCCACACAGCGGCGGCGGCCGGAGGCCGAUUCCGACGACCUCCAAUACCUAAGAAAAUUUGACAGCAUCUUCCUCUCAACUCACUCUACAACUUCCUUAACUAGCACAACACCUAAUUCCAAGCCUAACUAGGUCAAUCGAGCAAAAACAUCAUAAAAGCCAUAGAAAAUUCUACUCCACAUUUCUCCUUACCUAGCUCAAGGGAGGAUGAGACCUUUGGAGGAGUUGCUGCAUGGGAGGAGGGCUCUCUUUUGAGCCAAGCAGCUCCGGCUAUGGCGGACGGAGGAGGAAGUUCCGGCGAGAAAACCACCACAACAGCCGGACCUUUUGGGGGAGAGAACUCCUUCACGGCGGAGCUAGGGCGGCUCUCACCGGCCUAUAAUGGAAGCUGGGUCGGAGGCCGACCUUUUGGGACUGGUGCGGCAGUCUCAGGCGGCCGGACGGCGGCGGACAGGUGGCCGGAAGAUCAGGCAGCGGGAGGACUCGGAGGGGGGGGGGGGGGGGGGGGGUGGGGAAGAGAGAGAACCAGGAAGAAAAAGAGGGAAGAGAGAAAAAAAAGGAUUUGGGCCUCUACACACGGUCCAAACAUCCUUAUCACCACACCCAAAAAAUAAACCCGACUCCAAAAAAUUUACACCCCAAAAAUAAUACCCUAAUAAAAAUUACAUUUUACUAGCUAAAAUUUACCAUUUUUACCGUCAUUAAUAUUUCCUCCUACGAAUAAUCCUCCGAAAAUAACCGUCCCCCAAACCCCUCUAGGGACCAAUUACACUAAAACCUCAAUGACGGAGACGGUAAAAUUCUUAUUAUAACCAAGCUAGUAAAUAAGGUAAAAAUUUAAGAGUCGGGAUGUGACAAAAUACGUAUGAACGAACUGUAAACGGUUUUGGAAACUAGACUCAUUUAUCUUUCCAAUAGUAUAUUACAGACAUUCUCUUUCGUCAGGAGUUAUUCACAAAGUCCGGUUGAAGUUGAUUGUUUUGCCGAAAUCAGAUUCUAGGACUGAUUCGUCCUACUUUACGAAAAUGGCCAUAACUCACUCAAGAUGAUAGAUAUGAUCAAAUGGUUGGUGUCCCUGGAAAGUAGACACAUAGACCUUUCCAAUGGUACCAAUUUCACUAUUUUCCAGUAAGCGAGAUUUCCUGUAGAUCCCGUGGAAUUUGACCUACGAAACUUAGUAGAUUUUGAUUUCGCUUUUGAUGUGUCUUUCUUAUGUAGGGAUAGAAUAACCCUCGACCUUUCAUACCAUUAAGUAUUUAAAAAAUUGAAAAAAGGAGUUACUGCCAUUACAAUGGCGUUGCAUGGAUGCAUAGCUACACUAAGCUUUACAAUUUUUCAUAGCGAAUGAGAUGUCAAAUCUUUCGUAUUAUCUUGAGUACAUUGAUGCGUCUUAUUAUACUUAGAUGGGAAUUCCAUCUCUUAACACAUAUUUGUCAUAUUUUUUUAGACAAAACAACAGAUCUCUCUUUAGAGUAAAGACUUUCGCUAAUGAUGGGGUAUAUGUAGGCCUCACUAGUUAUAGAGCACCUAAGCCGAUUGAUGGAAAAUCAUCAUCAAUACAGUCAUCGAGUGCCUUAUCGAGACCGUGUCUUCCCAAAAUCUUUUUCAUUCUAACUUCGGAUGUUGACACAUAUUGGCAUCUCUUGAUCCAUCAAGAGUCCAUGUAAAUCGGAAAUGAACACGCAAAGACAUAAUUCACCAUAUCCCUUCUGAAUCAAGUAGAGUCCAUGUGUGUUUCAAUACCUUUAGCAAAUGCGUGCUCCUGUGGUCUGAAGUCAUCUGAUUCAGAUGAAUGAAAUCCGUUUAAGAUCUUCUUGUAUAUCUCAGAUCUCAUAGAGAUGUUAUUAUGACCACAUUCAUAGGCUACAUGUUCAGUUAUUCGGAAACUACCAAACUGACAAAGUAGUGGAGUGCAAUGACAUCCAUUAUGAGAGCAUAUCUCAUUGUAGUCGACCCUAGUGCGUGUUAGUGGGAGACCUUGCGCCAUAAGGUGAGUCUAAGCUCUUAUUCUCACUACGCUAUCUAAUAAAGGCAUAGUUGAUAGGGUUUAACUUGCGGUGUCGGCAUCACCUGCCCAAUGACCUAUCUCUUUGUUAAUGCUGGAUCGCAUCUUUCCAUUAGACCAAUCAACUGAGUUGAUAUCCAUCAACGAAUGGUGGUUCGAUAGUAGACUCAUUAUCACACGUCCUCAUGUACACUACUAGUGUAAUACUUGUAGAGAUCUCUAUAUGGAUUGGAUUUGACAUUGAGGCGUCCCCCAAUGAUAAUCACAAUUCAGAGUUUAUGAGACGGAUUUAAGUAUAAUUGAUCAAUGGAUCAGGUCGUGUCAAUCUCAUUUUCUUCCUAGUGCGAGAAAAUAUCAAACCUAAGAGCCUCCCUCCUUUUAGAAAUAAUAAAUAAAUAUUUUGGAAAUAAGUAUCGAACCUAAUGGCCUUGUGUGUAAUACCCGGAUAAUUUAGAAAUAAUAAAUAAAUAUUUUAUAUAAAAAUUAAUUAAAAAAAUUAAUUUGGAAAAGUCGAGAAGAUAUGAGAAAGGAGGGUUCUUCAUAUNNNNNNNNNNNNNNNNNNNNNNNNNNNNNNNNNNNNNNNNNNNNNNNNNNNNNNNNNNNNNNNNNNNNNNNNNNNNNNNNNNNNNNNNNNNNNNNNNNNNNNNNNNNNNNNNNNNNNNNNNNNNNNNNNNNNNNNNNNNNNNNNNNNNNNNNNNNNNNNNNNNNNNNNNNNNNNNNNNNNNNNNNNNNNNNNNNNNNNNNNNNNNNNNNNNNNNNNNNNNNNNNNNNNNNNNNNNNNNNNNNNNNNNNNNNNNNNNNNNNNNNNNNNNNNNNNNNNNNNNNNNNNNNNNNNNNNNNNNNNNNNNNNNNNNNNNNNNNNNNNNNNNNNNNNNNNNNNNNNNNNNNNNNNNNNNNNNNNNNNNNNNNNNNNNNNNNNCUCUCUCUCUCUCUCUCUCUCUCUCUCUCUCUCUCUCUCUCUCUCUCUCUCUCUCUCUCUCUCUCUCUCUCUCUCUCUUAAGCAUCUGCAUAUAUUUAUUAAUUUGGUUGUUUGAUACAUUUUACCUAUUCAUUCUGGGUAGGGCACUGGAUACAUUUUACCUAUACAUUUUACCAUAGAGGGUGGCUAGGACACUAGUUAUGCGCACCAAUUUGCCUAUAUCUGCUUGGGGUUAUGCAAUAUCGCACGCAACUUUACUUAUUCAUUUUUAGGCCCACUGUCAGCCAACCAUUUCAUGCGUACCAGUUGGAAACUGGACAUGAGCCUGAGAUUUACACAUUUGGUUGUGCAGCAUAUGUGCCUAUUGCGCUCCCACAACACAUCAAAAUGGGUCACCAAGAACGAAUAUGUAUAUCUGUUGGAUACGAACCUCUAACAACUAUCCGAUAUUCGGAACCUUUACAGGCAAUCUCACCACUUGAUUUGCAUAUUGUCACUUUGAAGAGACAGUCUUCCGAUCUUGUCGUUAGGGGGAGAUAAAGAAAAAGAAUUUUCUAUGGGAACGACAAGAAUUGUCGUGGUUGUCCCCACUCUGUCUCAUCCAAAUCCCCACAUAGUCAAUAUCUAGAACAUAACAGUUUCAAUGCUUGAUGCGGUUAAAGAUAUUGUCAAAGUGACGAGAUCGUACAUACUAGCUGCAAAAGCCUGCAAGGUUAAAAGUCCCCAAUAAAGGCACGUUGCCGCAGAUAGAGGCGACGCAACCAUACUUAGUGGAGGUGUGGUUGAGGCCAUGGCUCCCUAAGGGAAUAAGAGGAGACCACUUGGUUCGAUCAAUACUUUCCUAAAGGAAUUAGGUGAGUAAGACACAACCUCAUCAAUGUAAAGAAUCUCUCUCAUGAGAUUGUCUCUGAUUACAGUUAUGUCCAUGAAUCAAUACUGGAGGACGCUCUGAUGUUUAAAAUGAUUUCAGAGACAAAAUCUCAAAAGAUUACGAGAGUACAUAAACAUUGAUGGUUCACACUGUUGCUCAAGGAAUUAUAGAGCACGAAGGUAUCGAACCACACUCUGUUGAAGAAUGUCAACCAAGAGCAUAUUGGCCUAUAUAAAAGUGCGAUUCAGGAAGAACUAGAUUCUCUGACAAAGAGACAGGUAUUUGGUUUGGUAGUGCUAACCUUACCAAGUGUAAAGCCUGUAGGACAUAAAUUAGUCAUUGUCAUAAAGCGUAACGAGAAGAAUGAAGUCCUAAAGGACAAGGCUCGCCUUGUGGCGCCAAGGUUUCUCGCAACGCUUUGGAUUGACAACGAGGAUAAAUAAUCUCCCAUAAUGGAAAUGCUGCUCAUCGAUGUGGUUACUACUUCUCUCCAUUGGGAUCUUGAUUGGGAGAUAUCCAUUAAAGUGCCCGAUGGCCUUAAACUAUCCAACUUAAGUAACACUAGCCUGCAUGUGUCUAAAAGAUUCUCAGGCAAUUUACAUGGACAAAAUGCAUAUUGUUAGCACUCCCAAUGAUCGGUCAAUGUUUGGAUGUAAAGGAAAAUCCAUUUCGUCCAAAGGAAGAUGACGAAGAAGGGUAGAGAAAUGAAAACUCUUCUCUAAAGUGCUAUAGGUGCAAUAUUGUACUUAGCCUAAUGAACACGACCGAGUAUUACAUUCUCAUUGAACUUGUCCAAGCGCCAACGCAGUGUCAUUGGAAGGUCUAAAUAACGUAUCCUAAUACCUAAAUGAACCAUUGACUUGAGUUCAUCCUAUCCCUAUAGAAAGACGAAAAGGAAUGCAGAUAGAAGUACAAUCCCCUAUAUGCAUCAAAACCUCAAACGAUGCUUUGGUGGUUUUUACUGUUAGGUAACUAUGAUCAAUAAGUCGUUCCUAAACUGGUUAUGUACGUAAUCGUCAAUGGGAACACGACGAUACAUUAUGAGAAACAUUAGUCUCUCCUCAAGAUUCAAGUAAAGCAAGUAAGGUCUGAGGACAAUAAGACAUACUUGUUUCUCAAAUUACAACUUAAAGCUAUAUCUGAAAAGCAUGUGAGAAACCUAGGAAUGCAAAGACGUUCCAAGCUUCCUUGAUUGAUGUAAGUAUCAAGGGAAGUAUAGACUUCAGGGGGAGUCUAACACACAUAGGUGCAUUGUAUGUCACUACCAGGUCAAGCACUCGGCCUGUUAGCUUUAUUCGUCGGCUAAAAUCUUAGCCGACGAGCCAUCGUCAGCUAAGACUUCGUCGGGAAAAGGUCGUCGGCGAAGACUUUAGCCGAUGAAAAAAAUUUUCGUCGGCUAUAGUCCCACAGUUUAGCCGAUGAAAAACAUGUCGUCGCUUUUUUUCCCAGACUUUAGCCGACGAAACAAUUAAGAUAUUCGUCGGCUAAAGUGUGUAAUAAACAAUUAAAAAAAUAACUAUAGCUGACGAAAUAUACUCGUCGGCUAAACCUUAUAAAAAAUUUAAAAAUAACUAUAGCCGACGAAAUAUACUAUAUUUCGUCUGCUAAACCUUAUAAAAAAAUUAAAAAAAUAACUAUAGCCGACGAAAUAUGCCAUAAUUCGUCGGCUAAACCAUAUAAAAAAAUUAAAAAUACUAUAGCCGACGAAUAUAGUAUUUAAAUAUCGUCGGCUAAAGUUGCUGGUUUUUGGAAGAAAAAAAACUGCAGAAACUUUCGGCCACCUCCAAUCACCACCAAAAUUUGACAGAAUCUUCCUCUCAACAUUUCGAACAACUUUCUAAAAGAAAUCGAAGCCCAAUCCUAAGCCUAAACAGGUCAAUGGAAUCAAAAUAUAAAAAUCCCCAAUUUUAAACCCUAAAAACUUCAAAUUUUCGAUUUUCUUCACACACACCGAAUCGAGCUACCAAAUUCUAGGGGAAUGUAGUACUAAUCAAACUCAACUUAUCCAUAUAUAGAACUCACCAAAUGGUGACCUGAGGAAGGAGAAAUUCGAUCGACACCGAAUCCGAACCGGCGGAGUUUUGGAGCUUGAUUUAUCCCUCACGGCGGCGCCACUCGAUACACCACCUGUCCAGCAAUGAAGUAGAGACGAUGGCGAAGCUUUUGGGACAAGUGUGGCGGUCUCCGGUGGCUUGACGGCGAAGCUAGGCCGAGAAGAAAAUCCGAAACUUUUUCUGAUUUUCUGACUUCUUACCAUCCACCUCCGGUAAAACUCCUACAUAAAGAACUUUACCCGACGAAAUUCUUUAUUUUCGUCGGCUAAACUCUUUUAAAAAUUUUGGUUGACCGCCAAAAAAAUUUGGUUGAAAAUUUUCAAAAUUUUGAAAAAUUUUCGACUUUAGCCGACGACUUUUCAUAUAUUUUCGUCGGCUAAAGUCCUUUGAAAAUUUUCUUCCAAAUUUGGUUUACCGCCAAAACUAUUUUGACCUUAGCCGACGACUUUUUUAAUAUCUCGUCAGUUAAACUCUAUAAAUUCACGAAAACGCUCAUAUCUCCCUCUAUAUUACGUAGUUUGGUCAAACCUUCCACACGAAAAACUUUCACGUAGAUGAGACGCAACCGCCUAUAUAAACAUUUUAAGACAUUUACCUUCCGACGAUAGGGCUCCCCAUAGGGAAUAAUAACUGUAAAUAGGGUUGACCGCUACUAUCGACACCGAGACGUUACCCGAUUUACGUGAUUUUUGAACCAUAGCCGUAUUUCACCAUUCUGAACACAUCUUAUUUCACAAGAUUUUUGAUAAUUUUGCUUCCUAUGUAGAGUUGGUUCACAAAGUUGUAUAACCUACUAAACAAGUUAUACAACAUUAGUAGACACGUUGUGAUUCCGAUGACUAAAAUUCACAAACCAAAAUUCGACCGUCAGAUAUGAUUAUUAUGACGAAAGAUGUCUAUGUUACAAAAUUCAACUGGAUCCGACAACGUUAAGGGCUCGAUCAAAACAGUCAACCCUAAUCCAUCGUCACUUAUCACACGAAAACGCUCAUAUCUCCCUCUAUAGUAGGUAGUUUGGUCAAACCUUCCACACAAAAAACUCUCACGUAAAUGAGACGCAACUGCCCAUAUAAAAGUUUUGAGACAUUUACCUUCCGACGAUAGGGCUCCCCAUAGGGAAUAAUAACGGUAAAUAGUAGACACGUGAUUCCGAUGACUAAAAUUCACAAACCAAAAUUCGACCAUCAAAUAUGAUCACUACGACGAAAGAUGUCUAUGGUAAAAAAUUCAACUGGAUUCGACAACGUUAAGGGCUCGAUCGAAACAGUCAACUCUAAUCAGAAAUAAGAAAACUGCAUUUUGAAGCCCUAAACGGACUCGGAUGGCCAAAAAGGCUCAUAUUUCAUGGUAAGAGCGAUGAGUUUGACUCGUAGGGCCGUUACGCUUCCAGAAAGGUAUCACAAUAGUCAAUCAGACACCGAACGCCAAAUCUGCAGCAUAGUGAAUAAUAAGGGUAAAUUACAUUGACCGCAACUAUCGGUUCCGAGACUUUACUGGAAUAUCGUGAUUUUUCAACCGUAGAUGUAUUUCACCAUUCUGGUCAUAUCUUAUUACACGACUUUUUUGCGUUUGAAGGUUCUACGUAUAGUUUUUUUUUCCCAGAUGAGUUGUUGUCCAGAUCUGCAAAUAUAAGGCACUUUAGCCGAUGAAAUUAUAUUUUUCGUCGGCUAAACUUUUAAAAAUUUCAUCAGCUAAAGUUCACAGACUAUAGCCGACAAAAAAAAUUAUUCAGCCGACGAAAUUUUAAUUUCGUCGGCUAAAGUUGAUCAUAGCCGACGAAAAUUUUAAAUUAGCCGACGAAGGAAAAUUUGGUCGGCUAAACGAAAAAAUAAUUCGUCGGCCUGGUUUUUUUAUUUUCGUCGGCUAAAGCCUUUCUUCUGGUAGUGCGUGCUGUUUUUCCCUUCGACUAAGAUUUAUUUUGUCCCAUUGGGUUUUGUUACUUGGCAAGGUUUUUAAUGAGGCAACACCCCACGCAUCGUUUUAACUUUGACUUGACACAAGGGGGAGUGUUGAAGGAAAAUACCUUAUGUGUGUCUUCGUCAAAGUAACUGACGAAAGCAAAUUAUGGAAUUAGUGAUCAAAGGAUAUAACCGCUCGAUCAGUUAUCAAUUAGUCAUUAUGUAUAUUGUUAUUAGCAUUGAAUUUCGUCAUUAUGUGCGUGUAAUUACCGUUGUAAUCAACCUCUAUAUAAAAAGGGUUGUUAAUGAAAUGAAUAGACCAAUUCCGAUUCUAUUUUUCCUAUAACAUGGAUUUGGUUUUAAUCCUAUAUUCCAACAAUUUAGUUUAUGUUACAGGAUAAAUAAAACGGAAGAGUGAAAUUAGGGAGAAUAUUGUUGUAUUUCAUUCAUAGAAUAAAUCUCUCUAUAUAUGGAGGAUACAAUAUAUAAAGAAAGUACAUAUAUUCCUAUUACAACAUUGGUAUCGAAUCUUAUUCUGAUUCUACUUUGACUAAGGCACACACUAGGAAAUCUAGCUAAUUUCCUUAAGCAUUCCCUAUGUUCCAUCUUAAAGUAAUAUGAUAUAUUCAAAUGCAUUCAAUGUUGUCUCAUUAAAAACCUUGCCAAGUAACAAUAAAACCUCAUGGGUAAAUAUAAUCUUGGUCGAAGGAACAAAAAGUGUACAACGCAUCAUUCACAUUUGAAUUCACAUUUGAAAGUGACUUAUGUAUCAGACUCCCCCUGAUUCUUACAAUCAUGAGAGCUUUAGAUCACUUAAACAUUCCAAUGCUUUUAACAUUUUUUCAAAUACGACCUUAGACAGUGAUCUAGUAAAUAGAUAUGUCAUAUUAUCCUCAUAUCUAACUUGUUUCACUUUGAUUAUGAGGAGAACUCGUUAUAGUUGAUCACUUACAUGAUAUAUUAUUGGUGUCGUCACUCCAAUCAAAAUUAUUCUUGAAAAAUAAAUACUCUAAUCAAAAUCUGCAACAUCAAUGUGUUCCAUGCCAGAGUUGAAGUGUGUAAUAGUGAGACUGGCAUCAAGAGGUUUGGGUUCUGAAAUCAUAUUUAAUUUUAAUUCUACUGAGCUGUUGGAAAAGCACUAAACGUCUUAGUUUUUCCAAAUACGCCAUGUUCUAUUUUCUAUUUUUCAUUUUUCUAUAAACACAAUUCGAUGUAAUGAGGAUGUUGUAUCCACACUCUACCCACAAGCUGGUGAAACCGUGAAACCGUGAAAUAAUACAUGUAACCUUUAUUUAUUAAUGAGAUUAAUAAACUUGUUCAAAAAUGUGCAAAAAGCAAAAUAGUUACAAAACAUAAAAAGAAAAAUUAAUAAAGAAAGCUUAUCUGUAUCUAUAGGAUACAACAUGUAAAAUGUGAAGUGCUGCAACGAGUUGAUGCCACUAAACUAAAAGGGCUCAAGAUUUGUCAUUAGAGGGAGCUGAAAAAGGACAAUAUAUCUUUUAUUUAUACCUGAAGAAGCAUAGAUCAAUGAGAAGCAAAAGCCAAAAUAGUUAUAUUAAAUUUACAAAUACUUGUGUCUGAUUCUCAAUCUUCAUAUUGCUUGUUUAAUGGGGAGAUUAAAUAAGAAAACACGUGUGCUUUCAAGCAAUGUAACCCAACAUGAAACAGAAAUUACCAAUUUCACAAAGCAACCCAGUUUUUUUAGUAGGCAGAAUAGGGUGAGAAGUUUUGGCAGACGGGCUGCAUUGUUGCUUAGCUGUAAAUAGAGCAAUAAAAGGGGAUUCCAGUAACAAGCAUAACAUAGCGCACUACUUCAAUUUAAACAGACAAUAUGAUUAGGAUUUAAACUGAAAUUCCUCAAUAUAAACAUCCACUAGUUAGUGAGAUCAGCAACUUCCUGGCGAAAUAACACCUGAGCAGUGACCAUUACCACAACGACAAGUCAACAUGUAGUAAGCAUUCUUAUGCACACAGACGGCGCGAAAUAACACGUCCAGCUAAACGGCCAUUUGUUUUCACCACCGUCUCAACAUGUCGUUUUUGUUUCCCUGCGAAAAUAAAAAUAGGUACUGAUGAGAUGACAAAAGCAAAUGAGCAGUAAUGAAGCAUAUUAUGUUUUAUAAGGAAGUUAGAUCUAGAUGGAUACAAUGACAUCGUAUAUGAUCUCACCAACAUAACUACUUAAAUACAGAACAACGACACAUACAUAAGUCUUGCAAAGAAAACAUCAUUGAACUGAGAAAUGUGAUGGUCUAUAUCAAUCCACAUAGACUAAAAUCUAUGACGACGCACGAAUCAUCCAUCUAUAAGUUUUCAAACAAAAAACUUAUGGGUGGAUAUUUGCCAGUAAGAUAUGCAUAAUCCAAAUCAACAAACUAAACAGAGGAAAAAUAUAAGAAAGAAGAACGACAGAAGCAAACUGAAAAUCUGAGAACUAAUUCACAGAUUUUCUGUCCUAAAAAGAUGAUACCGCGAUUUUUAGAAUUUUAAAGUAAAAAUUACCAAAAUCAAAAACCAGAAACUGUUAUUAACCAACAAACCAAAAAUGUAAAUGACCAGUAGCAUACCUUGAGACUUAAGUUUCUGUUUUUCAAGAUAUUCUUUUGCAUUGAAAUUCCCCAGUAUAUUCUUCCAUGACACCGGAUCGGCAGCAGCUUAUUCUUCUGGCGCAUCAUUGAUUGGAUUUGUGCAAAAUGGUUCCCAGUGGUCACCAUUGAUACCACAACGGGCACAAGUCAUGUAACCAAUUUGAUUGGUAAAACUUGGAUGGUAGGGACCUAUCCUACCCACCGAUAGCCAAGGAACAUAACCAUAUCCCUUCGGUAGAGGGCGCUUCUCAGUUUUGGCCAUUUUGACAGGGUGUCGGGGACAGGUGCAGCAGGUGCAGCGAGAAGAAUUUCGUUUUCGUUUACGUGACUUUUUAGAAGACGUUUGGGAUUCCCC
rnacentral:lncRNA from 1 species